UCCCCGGCUGCAGUACAACAGGUUAGACUAGCUCUCCUUUAGUUUUCCCAGGAAUAAAAGUCUCUGAUUUACAAUGGGGAGCAAGGCUCCAAGUGCUAUGGAAGAAGGGACAUACCAGCACACUGGUCUGGGGAAGCUCUUGGGAGAAAUGGGACUUGCAUUCAGACCUGGAAAUGGAAAGGACUUGGGAUACUGGGAGAAACACAGGGGCAAAAUGUUGGGAGAACCAGCCAGAGCAAUCCAGGAGAAACAAGUCAAGCGUCUUUAAGGGCCAGGAAGAGCAGUCUAGCUAGUGAGGUCUGUUGUCAGAGAAGUGAGGGAGGGGUCAGACCCCAAAGGGUUUGAAUAACAGAAAAAGGAGUCUGGAUUUUGUCCUGGAAGCCCUAGGAGCAAUCAGAAGUUUCAAAAGUUAGAGGAUAUGAGGAUAUCCCAUUUCCCAGUGCCCACGUUUUACUCCCAAGGAAGGACUAUUACUGGCAACAUAUUUUCAACCCUUCUUCAAACUCCUCCCACUUCUCUGAUUAGGGACCCGACUGGAGAGACUGGGAAAGGGCACAGAGCAUACCUGCCCCAGCACGUGCUCCAGGCUUCAGUGCCUGCAGUUCUGGUGGAAAAACUCAACCAAAGGGAGGAACAAGCAGCUCACGUCCAGCCACAGCUGGUGGAGGUUCUUCAAUCCAGUUUAUAGUUAAGAAAGCUGAUCACCACACCUCCAUCUCUGCUGACUACUUCCAAACUGAUUUGGAAGGAAGAGAGAGGAUGAAGGCAUUUGAUUCACCACCUUUUCCAACUAAAAACAGAAAUAAGAUUACAGCAAGUACUUCAGAAAGAUGAGCCAGGUGGAAGCUGACAAGAGGGACUGAAGGCAGAAAAGGCUGGGAGCCCUCAAAUUAACUGUGGAGGUCCUACGAUAAUCCAAGCAUUCAGUGAAUGAUUUGCAACCACCAAGUAUGAUCCAGGGCUAAUCAAAACAUGUACUUGAGCCAAUCUGCAAGAGAAUAAAUCAAAGAGCACAAAAAAACCGAGAAUUGCCAACAUAAUUUUUUAAUUAAUGUCCUUUCAUAAUUAAAACUGCUUCUGUUGACUAGUGGGAUCUUUAAUUUCUUUAAUUAAAGGAACCAAAGCAAUAAAUACAAAAAGAACAAGAAAUGAAAGGCUCACCAGUACAGAAUCCUACCAAGCUACAUAAGGAUUCUCUAUUACAAGUC